UGGCAACUCGUUCAAAGGCACACAGCUAAGGGUCAGCAGCAACACACUGCACUCCUGACUCCUGCUCUGAUACUUGCCUCACUGGAACCGUCAUCCCCUCUCAUGUGGCAAAUGCAGCUGGGUGACAAAACUGAGGCUCAGAGGCCAAUGGCCUUGUUCAAGGUCACACGCCCACUAAAUGAGAGACCCGGAGACCUGGCAUCACACGCUAACUAAGAAUACUGGAAGGAGAUAAGAUUGGGACUGAAAGACCUGGAUUGAAUGAUUUUUAUCAAGUCACUUCCCUUCCUUGGAUCUCCAUUUACUCAUCAA
rnacentral:lncRNA from 10 species